AACGCACGAGACCUGCGGACCUGCGGAGGGAUCAUUAAAGAGUUGCAAGACUCCCAAACCAUUGUGAACGUUACCCACACCGUUGCUUCGGCGGGCGGCCCGGGCCCUGCCCGGCGCCCCCCGGCCCCUCGCGGGCGCCCGCCGGAGGUAAACCAAACUCUUGAAUUGUAUGGCCUCUCUGAGUCUUCUGUACUGAAUAAGUCAAAACUUUUAACAAUGGAUCUCUAGAUCGGAAGAGCA
rnacentral:misc_RNA from 1 species